CGUGAUUGGUUGCUAGGGCUAGUGCCGGGCAGAAAGUCCACUUCUGUUGAUUAUAACAUGCAGCGGAUGCCUUGGCUUUUAGCUGAAGUCAGCUGCAACUUCAAGAAUUUGAGAUAGAAGGGCUGCAGUUGUUAAACAGGCAGCAAGAAAAACAGGCCCAAAGUCAGACAAAAAGCAGCUAAAUAGCCACAUAGCAUCUGGCCUCUGCAGACAUUGAACGAGACUAUGAUGUCGCCUGUCUGGUGUUAAUGAAGGAAGACCUCACCACUCAGCUCAAGCUGGUUCAGGCGCAGAAUGUGUAAAACAAGAUGGUUGCCUUUUUUAUUUUUUUUUCCUACCCAGCAGACUGACUUCUGGGCCAUUCCAUAAUAAGUUGCCUUUAUCUUUGCUUCUAGUGAUUCAUGAAAUCUUUCCCCCUUUACCUAUCACUUCUCAAGAACUAAAAGUGUCCCAUUUGUUAAGAACCAGUAAGAUUUGAUCUCCGAGAAAUCUCAAUUUGUAUUCUUCUGGACAUGUUGCAUUGUGUGUGUGUGUGUGUGUGUGUGUGUGUGUGUGUGUUCAUGUAGCGAUUAUAAUAUCUGGCAUAAAGUAGUUAGGCACGAAAAGAGCCCUGAGUAGUGCUAACUCCAGUUUCUCAAUCUUUAUCAGAAUUGAAUUCAAUUUUAUCAGGGGUCAUGAACACACAUGCAUAUCAGGGGCAGGCGGAAAAAAAUAAAUUAGUUAACGGGU